CCCCGCUUCCACGGGGUCUUUAGGCGGCCGGCCCGGCUGCCCCGCGGCUCAGCGGGCCCCAGCACAGGCCCGGGCCGGCCACGGCGGCCAGCGAGGCGGGACGGCGGCGCGGCCUCGGAGCCUGACGGCGGGGCUCCCGGGCCCGUCCCGCCACCAGGCUGCGCCCGCCCGGCCCAGCGGCGCCACCGCCCACGGACAAUGGCGGCGGCCGGGGCCCCUCGGCAGCUCCGGGCGCCGCCGCUCCCCCUGCCGCCGGCUCACCUGCAGGCCGCCGCCUCCGCCCGGCGCGCUCCGAGCCCGGCCUCAGCACCGGCCCCCAGGCCCGCGGCGCCCCGGGGCCCAUCCGACGCGGCGCUCGGGCCGGAAGCGCCCUGACGCCCUUCCGGGGAGGGGCUCCGAGCAGCCGCGCCGCCGCGGGCCGCCGCCUCGCCCGGGGGAGCGGCCUUCCGCCCGGUGCCGCCCUGGCGGCCGGGAAGAACUAGUGCCCCCGAGCGCCCGGCCCGCCGCGGCCUGGGGGCGGGGGGCGGCGCGGCCGGCUGGUGCCUGCGUGGCCCUCGGGCGGCCGGCGGCGCCUGGUGCCCCGAGCCCCGCCGGGAGCGUGGCCGCCGCCGCGCUCGGGGCCCUGGGCCUUGCCCGAGCUCUCGUCGCGGUCAGGCGGCUCCGAGGCCUUGCUUGGCCCUCCUCAGGGCCGCGCGCCCCUCGCAGCCAUCCCGGGGGCCCGGUGAGGUGCGAUCCCGCUAGUGUUGGGGGGAAGGCCUCAGGUUAGAAAAGAAGUUCUUGUAGACCUCUCACGGGGGCGCCGCGGGGCAGCGAAGAGACUGCAUUUCCUAGACUAAACCUGGAGCAUCACUGGAGGCUGUUUGAGGGACCAUCUUUCUGGGGCAGUUGAUCCGGAAGGAAGGUAAAGGUGGGAAUGAAAAUGGGAGGCCAGUACCCGGCCGCAUAUUACCUUUUUGUUUGUUUUUUAAGAUUUAUUUAUUUAUUCAUGGUAGACAUAGCGAGAGACAGAGAGGGAGAGAGGCAGAGGGAGAAGCAGGCCCCAUGCCGGGAGCCUGAUCCCGGGACUCCAGGAUGGCACACUGGGCCAAAGGCAGGCGCUAAACCGCUGAGCCACCCAGGGAUCCCCUUACUUUGGAAUCCUUUGUGCUUCUCUGAUCCUUUCGGAGCAAGAGCAAAGAAUUAAACACAGGAGGUAAGAAUAGGCAUCUGCCUAGGUCAGUGGAGUAGGUUUCAGAGCAGGUUCAUUUCCUGGGAAUCUGAGUCAGGUUGAGAGUUAGUUUGUUCAAAGGCAGCGCUUCUUUCCAGGCUUCGAGAACCAGUGGACAGUAGUGCUCGUAGCAUGGAGAUCCUCACCAUCAGACCCAAGGCUGAGCAUGUAAUUGGAACUUCCUAAAGUGAAUAAAUGAAGUCUGCAGCCGUGGCCUUGCA
rnacentral:lncRNA from 12 species